AGUGAACGCUGGCGGUAGGCCUAACACAUGCAAGUCGAACGGCAGCACAGUAAUAGCUUGCUCUUACGGCUGGCGAGGGGCGGACGAGUCAGGAAUACAUCGGAAUCUACUUUUUCGUGGGGGAUAACGUAGGGACACUUACGCUAAUACCGCAUACGACCUACGGGUGAAAGCAUGGGAUCUUCGGACCUUGCGCGAUUGAAUGAGCCGAUGUCGGAUUAGCUAGUUGGCGGGGUAAAGGCCCACCAAGGCGACGAUCCGUAGCUGGUCUGAGAGGAUGAUCAGCCACACUGGAACUGAGACACGGUCCAGACUCCUACGGGAGGCAGCAGUGGGGAAUAUUGGACAAUGGGCGCAAGCCUGAUCCAGCCAUGCCGCGUGGGUGAAGAAGGCCUUCGGAUUGUAAAGCCCUUUUGUUGGGAAAGAAAAGCAGCAGGUUAAUACCCCGCUGUUCUGACGGUACCAAAAGAAUAAGCACCGGCUAACUUCGUG
rnacentral:rRNA from 1 species